UCCCUUAACUUUUAAACCAUCUUCCACAUUCACAUUCUUCUCCACCAGUGCUGGUUGCCCUGAGAUGUUUCUCCCAUCUGGCCACCCAUAAAAACAUAGCAGUUCCCUGCAACAUCAGCUGUUGUCCUGAAAGUUGGCAACUGCAGGAAUCAACUGUGGAAGGAUCACCAAAGAACAUAUAGAUGACCUGAUAACAUCUGGAUGACUAAGCCAUGUGAUUCAGACAUACAGAUUCCCAUUAUGUGGCUGCAUCAUAGGGACUAGGAUAAAAGGAUAACCAUAUACAGUAUGCCACAUCAAAAAAGAAGAUACAGAAAUCAUUACAAUCUACAAGGCAGAAGGUUUGGUAAAUGUGUGGUGGAAGGAUCAUCACAGAACUAGCAAGCCGGCUUCCCAGGCCUGAUUAGGAAGAUUGUACAUCUGACUGCAGUUUAAGACAGCGCUUCAAGGCAGG